UCUAGAGAACGCGGAGCAGAGGGCGGGGAGACGGGAAGACAAACAGCACCAAGGCAGGGAACAUUUGGAUACGACGACGCUGUCCAUGAAAACCGGAUUAGAUUUGGUUUGGGGCUUUUGACUUUGUUCUGGAACUAUCAAGAAAUCAGUCCUGGCCUAAGCAGCAGGAUCAGAUGACACUGCAGGCGAACUCAUUGCAAAGGAAACUCCCUUUUCCUGCACUGCUGGACCGGCACAAAAAGUCAAAUUUUGCCCUCUUGUAGCCAAAAAUACCCCCCCAAAAAACCCCUCAAAGCAGGUUCUGUUUUUCUUGAUUUCCCUCUGAAGAAGAGCCAAAGCAAAGUGUUUCAUGGUCGGUGGAGGUGCAGACGGAUCGGGGCGUCAGACGGGCAGUGACGGCGUUUUGAUUGGGAAAUGAAAAUAAAUCAGGGAUGCAAAUGUGAGAGCAAGCUGAUCAGUUCAUGAUUGAUCCCCAAACCUACUGAACCUCUGCUGUAAUCGCUAACGAAUCAAGAAGAAUGCAAAAGAAAAGUCGCAAAGAAAAAUUUAAAUACUUGUCGGAACGUUUUAAAAAAUGCACAAAACGAUGCAGAAAUGUGGAUUUUUUUCUUCUUUUUUUUUUUUUGCAGCAGCAGCUGCGUCGUUCCCCUCAGCUUCCUUCCCUUCUUUCUUUCUCACUUUAUCUCAUUUAUUCCUUCCCAGGUUCUCCGUGUCCACAGCAACAGCAGCACUCGUCCUGCAGUCCUCCCACCAACACGGACGUCUUAGCCAGACCACAGAGCAACAAAUCAUUUCGUUUUUUCCGUUUAUUCCUGCUGCUUGAACAGCAUUCGGUGAAAUUCAGAUUUUCACUCUCUGCAGGAAGCCGAGUUAAAGUAGGAAACCUGUUGCUACUGGCAACUGGACACCAUGUUUACCCUCCAGUUUUGAAAACUCUCCAUUUUAAAAAGAUUCUCACCAUUAUUCGUAGUUUCCAUCUUGUUUGUUUCACCCGCCUCGUACGGAAACUGUUCCCUGACAUGAUGCAAACGUUUGCUCAAAUCUCCAGCGCCCCGUUCUCUACAUGCAGGUGUCCUCCUCUGUAAAUGUGUCUCUAAUUAAAGCAGACUCGGCUUUACGAAACACUGAGCUGAGAUCAGUUCUGCGGGACAAGAAACCCUAAAAAAAAAGAACUUUUUCUUCCCAAAGCAGAACUGAAACCAUGCUUUUGUUCCCACUCCCAACAAAACAUAUUAAGAAUGGAAAGGGUUAAUCUGUGUCUUUGCUGACUGUACGUUAAAAUAGACUUUUUACAUUUAUACACACAUAUGAGGAAGUAAGAAAAGCUUGGCACGCUGCACUAAUGAGAAGCACUAACAUCAUUUAGCUCAUGCACUGCAAAAAGAAAAAAUCUUACCAAGUAUUUGUUGUCUAGUUUCUAGUGAAAAUAUCUUACUACUAAACCUUAUAGCAAGAAAUAGGAGCUUUUGUAAAAGUAAAUAGUUAUUCCACUUUUAAAAUGUCUUCUUAUAAGUGAAAUAUUCUUUUAUAUACAUAAAAGAAUUUUUCUUGCUGAAAAAGUUUGUUUUAUUUCAAGUGUACCAAGACAUUUGUGCUAGAAACUAAACCAAAAUUCUUGGUAAUAUUUAGUGUUUUUGCAGCCAGGUAUCUGUGCCUGGAUACUUGAUAAGAAGAACGUCACGCCCGGCCAAAACAAAAGGUCGGCUGCAGAUUCAUCUUCCACAUCAUGUAACGUCUAACAUCAGCUCAGAGCGGAACGAAAAGAAAAAGUGACGAAGGAGAAGAUCGGACAGACCCACUUGGAGGAAAACAUCUCCUUUAAAAGAAGUUAAUCGCCAAAAGAGAUGAGGAAAAUGCAGAAUUUGGAGUGAGCAAUACUGACAGGAAGCAUUUUGAGUAUUAUUUCUGUCUCGUCUUGUUUGUCUUUAAUGCUUACACGAUUAAAAGCGUCUGAGCACAGUCGGAGCAAACCGAAAACAAGCGUGUUUGUGGUUCUUCACUAAUGUUCGUGCUGAAAGUCCGAUGUGAAACAGUUUUGUUUUCUUUGCAGCCAUGCUGUGCUUUGUGUUGUGUGCUGUGGCUCCAUGUAUCUCACUUUAAUGCAAAAAAUGACCUUAAAAAACAAUAAAAAUGGCUUGAAUGUGUGUCUA